rnacentral:rRNA from 1 species
UACGUAGGGUGCGAGCGUUGCCCGGAUUUAUUGGGCGUAAAGGGCGCGUAGGCGGCUCUGCACGUCCGUUGUGAAAUCGCCCGGCUCAACUGGGCGGGGUCAGCGGAUACGGCAGAGCUCGAGCAAGCUAGGGGGCAAUGGAAUUCCCGGUGUAGUGGUGGAAUGCGCAGAUAUCAGGAGGAACACCAAUAGCGAAGGCGGCUCGCUGGGACGGUACUGACGCUAAGGCGCGAAAGCGUGGGGAGCGAACAGG